rnacentral:tRNA from 1 species
CAUGAUGUGGCUCAGACGGUAAAGCAUCUGCCUGCAAUGCGGGAGACCUGGGUUUGAUUCCUGCGUCAGGA